AUAAGGUUAAGUUAAUAAGGGCGCACGGUGGAUGCCUUGGCACUAGAAGCCG
rnacentral:rRNA from 1 species